rnacentral:rRNA from 1 species
UACGUAGGGACCAAGCGUUGUUCGGAUUUACUGGGCGUAAAGGGCGCGUAGGCGGCGCGGUAAGUCACUUGUGAAAUCUCUGAGCUUAACUCAGAACGGCCAAGUGAUACUGCAGUGCUAGAGUGUGGAAGGGCAAUCGGAAUUCUUGGUGUAGCGGUGAAAUGCGUAGAUAUCAAGAGGAACACCUGAGGUGAAGACGGGUUGCUGGGCCAACACGUGACGCUGAUGCGCGAAAGCCAGGGG